ACCCUAACCCGACGAAGGGNGGAGCCGUCGAAGGUAGGGUCGAUGAUUGGGGUG
rnacentral:rRNA from 1 species